rnacentral:rRNA from 1 species
UACGUAGGGCGCAAGCGUUAUCCGGAAUUAUUGGGCGUAAAGAGCUCGUAGGCGGUUUGUCGCGUCUGCCGUGAAAGUCCGGGGCUCAACUCCGGGAUCUGGCGGUGGCGGGCAGACUAGAGUGAUGUAGGGGAGACUGGAAUUCCUGGUGUAGCGGUGAAAUGCGCAGAUAUCAGGAGGAACACCGAUGGCGAAGGCAGGUCUCUGGGCAUUAACUGACGCUGAGGAGCGAAAGCAUGGGGAGCGAACAGG